GAUCAUGGCUCAGGAUGAACGCUGGCGGCGUGCCUAACACAUGCAAGUCGAGCGAUUCUCUUCGGAGAAGAGCGGCGGACGGGUGAGUAACGCGUGGGUAACCUGCCCUAUACACACGGAUAACGUACCGAAAGGUACGCUAAUACGAGAUAAUAUGCUUUAGUCGCAUGGCUGAAGUAUCAAAGCUCCGGCGGUAUAGGAUGGACCCGCGUCUGAUUAGCUAGUUGGUAAGGUAAUGGCUUACCAAGGCGACGAUCAGUAGCCGACCUGAGAGGGUGAUCGGCCACAUUGGAACUGAGACACGGUCCAAACUCCUACGGGAGGCAGCAGUGGGAAUAUUGCACAAUGGGCGAAAGCCUGAUGCAGCAACGCCGCGUGAGCGAUGAAGGCCUUCGGGUCGUAAAGCUCUGUCCUCAAGGAAGAUAAUGACGGUACUUGAGGAGGAAGCCCCGGCUAACUACGUGCCAGCCGCGGC
rnacentral:rRNA from 1 species